rnacentral:rRNA from 1 species
UACGUAGGGUGCGAACGUUGUUCGGAAUCACUGGGCAUAAAGAGCGCGUAGGCGGUCUAAUAAGUCGGGUGUGAAAUCCCUCGGCUCAACCGGGGAACUGCACCUGAUACUGUUGGGCUUGAGUGCAGGAGGGGAGAGCGGAAUUCCUGGUGGAGCGGUGAAAUGCGUAGAUAUCAGGAGGAACGCCGGCGGCGAAAGCGGCUCUCUGGCCUGUAACUGACGCUGAGGCGCGAAAGCUAGGGGAGCAAACGGG